CCUACGGGGGGCAGCAGUAGGGAAUCUUCCACAAUGGACGAAAGUCUGAUGGAGCAACGCCGCGUGAGUGAAGAAGGGUUUCGGCUCGUAAAGGUCUGUUGGGAGUGAAGAAAGAUAGAGGGAGUAACUGGACUUUAUUUGAAGGUAAUUAAUUAGAAAGGCACGGCUAACUACGUGCCAGCAGCCGCGGGAAUACGUAGGUGGCAAGCGUUGUCAGGAUUUAUUGGGCGUAAAGCGAGUGGAGGCGG
rnacentral:rRNA from 1 species